rnacentral:rRNA from 1 species
CUACGGGGCGCUGCAGUGAGGAAUAUUGCACAAUGGGGGGAACCCUGAUGCAGCAACGCCGCGUGGAGGAUGACGCAUUUCGGUGUGUAAACUCCUUUUAUAUGUCAAGAAAAUGACGGUAGCAUAUGAAUAAGCACCGGCUAACUCCGUGCCAGCAGCCGCGGUAAUACGGAGGGUGCAAGCGUUACUCGGAAUCACUGGGCGUAAAGGACGCGUAGGCGGGUUGGAAAGUCAGGUGUGAAAUCCUACAGCUUAACUGUAGAACUGCACUUGAAACUUCUAAUCUAGAGUAUGGGAGGGGGAGAUGGAAUUAGUGGUGUAGGGGUAAUAUCCGUAGAUAUCACUAGGAAUACCUAAAGCGAAGGCGAUCUCCUGGAACAUUACUGACGCUAAGGCGUGAAAGCGUGGGGAGCAAACAGGAUUAGAUACCCUCGUAGUC